rnacentral:lncRNA from 1 species
UAGUAUUGCAGUGUGCUUUAACAAGCAUGGGCUUUGACAUCAGACAUUUGUUGCCAUCUGGACUCCACAAGUGAAUUUGCUACGGGAUUUGGAGGAGGGAAAGGCACUGUUUCCAUACCUCAGUGGUUUUCUCAUCUGCAAAAUAGGUAUGUGAUUGCAUGGAUUGACUUAUGUGAUGAAUAUAAAGUUGUUCAUUAGUACAGUACCUGUCAUAUUAAGUACUCAAUAAAUGCUAGUUAUUAUUAAUGCUGUGUUUUAGGUGUUCAGUAAAUAGUUGCCAUAAUGCUUAAAGCAGACAUAACUUGUUUUUAUUUUAGCAAUAAAGAUGAUGCCAACUUUUUGGUUUAAUGGAAAUGCUUUGAAUCUUUGAUAUUGUUGUAAUAUAGUGGCAAAGAAUUUUGAAUCCCAGCUUCUGGAGCUCAUAUCUUGAUUCUGCGAGUUACUUCGCUGUGUUACUUUGGGGGAAGUUAUUAAUCUCUCUGUGCCUCAGUUUCCUCAGUCAACUAAAUUGAAAUUAUAAUAGCACCUACCUGAUAGGAUUGUUGAGACUAAAUGAGGUAACAAUUUAAAAAUAAGCUAAUACCUGAUAAUUAGUUCUAUAUAUGUAUUGAUUGGUCUAAACGUUAUUUCCAUUUUCAUGUCUUUACUUAAAAUACUGAAAAUUAAUUUUUUAUAGCUUUGUUUUUCAGUUCCAUGAAAUCAGCCUGCCUUUUCUUUUUUUGGUGAUGCAUCCACAUUCUGUAUAGGUAAAAAGCAAAACAAACAAGUAUAAAACGAGAAUUAUGUAAGAAGUACACACAUCCUAGCAGCUUGGCAAGUGUCUGUAUGCUCUUGCCUGUGCCUAAAUCCAGAAUUAGAAUUCAUGUUUGGUGCUCCUGUGGAAGAUGUCUAAAUGUUAUGAGAAAUACAUGAUUAAAUAAAAAUGUGAAAUGAAAGCAUGGAGACUUGUUGAAGGGGUAUCCACCAUGAUUAUAUAUGAUGGGGAGGAAAGGGAUUACUCCAUUUCUGCCCCUGCAGUCUGUAGGCAUGAUUGAUUGCAUCAUUGGUCGCCGGUGAUUAACUCAAUCUCCAAGCCCUGUCGUGUCCCUGGAGGUUGGAGGGUGGCACUGAAAGCUCCAACCAUCUCAUCAUGCUUUGAUCUUUCCGAUGACCAGACCCCACCCUGAAGCUAUCUACGGGUCCCCAGCAACAUUCAUUUCGUUAUCAUACAAAUGACAUUCUUACAAUUUCAGAGAUUCCAAGGGCUUUAGGAAAUGGAGAUGAAGAGCAAAUAUAUAUUUCACAAUAUCACAAACAUACCCUUGGGAAUUAGACCUCUGAUCUAAUCUAGGCUCCCUCACUUGCGAUUUUUGUGACCUUGAACAAGUUGUUCAUCUUUUCUGGAUAGUUCUCUGUUAAAAAAAUUAAAAUAAAAAAAUGGUGGCUAUCAGGUUGUUAGGAGGACUAGAUAAGAGAACUAUGUGAAGGACCCUGCACAGUGCUAGCAACAAAGUUGUUUAGUAAGUACUAUUUCAAUUUAUUUUGCUUCCAAGCUCAUGUGAGCUCCCUCAGUGUGUACCACCAAAUCAUAUGAUGUGUAUCCCAGUCAAAUCUUAAAGGUCAUCCACCUUGAAUCUUUAAGUUAAUUGAUGUGUGUUUUUAAAACUGCAUUAUAAGAAUGUUAGGGUUUUUGUUUUGAUCCUAUGGAAGUUAAACUUUUUUACGCAAGCAUUCAACUGUUUAGCUUCAAACUGAACAGAUAAAUAGUCUGUAUUAUUUCAUUAUGUAUUAAAAAAUGAUUAAGCCUGCCUCAGGCAGUUCAGACAAAGCAGGUAAAAGAUUAUCAAGGAGUAACAUUAGAAAACACUAAUCAGAGUGCCUAAAAAGCUUUAUGCGGUCCAGGUUGUACAGGGAUGUUGGAACAGUAAAACAAACAAAACAUUACAAGGUAUGAAGCGUUCGAGAUAGGUAGAAUAGAGCAGGUUAUAUUAGAGAAGUCUCUUCUAAAAUUGUGUUGGCUAGCCUGGGAUUUGAACUUAUACCGUGUAUGUAUGUCCAUGUGUAACAGGUUGAACAUGCAAGAAGCAGUGUUCAUAAAAGGUGGCAAACUUGUUUUACUUGUUUCUCAGUCUUUUCAGAUCAGUACUUAUAAAACACUGAUAUUUACAGUAAAUAUAUUAAAUAUUAGCUAACCCUAUUAAAUUGUGUGUCCUUGUGCUGCAGUCAUUUAAUGACCUCAUUCUUUGGUAAGU